UAGAGGAAGUAAAAGUCGUAACAAGGUUUCCGUAGGUGAACCUGCGGAAGGAUCAUUAUCGAAAUAAACCUGAACAGGCUGUUGCUGGUCCUAGACAUGUGCACGCUUGUCGUCUUUAUUUUUCCAACUGUGCACAUAUUGUAGACCUGGAAGCUAUUAUUUUUAUCGUCGUGAUAGAUUGAGGAUUGCUGCAUGUCGGCUUUACCUUGUGUUUCUAGGUCUAUGUCUUUUACAUUUCACACAUAAAGUGUCGAGUAUUGGGGAAUAACAAAAAUAUAUACAACUUUCAGCAACGGAUCUCUUGGCUCUCGCAUCGAUGAAGAACGCAGCGAAAUGCGAUAUGUAAUGUGAAUUGCAGAAUUCAGUGAAUCAUCGAAUCUUUGAACGCAUCUUGCGCUCCUUGGUAUUCCGAGGAGCAUGCCUGUUUGAGUGUCAUCAAGUUCUCAACCACACCUGGUGUGGCUUGGAAUUGGGGGUUUGCAGGCAUUUUAUUGUCGGCUCUCCUGAAAAGCAUUAGUGGUAUUCAACUACUGGAGGUGUGAUAAAUGUCUAUGCCUCGGGUAUAUAUGAUUUUGCAUACUGCUUCUAAUUUGAAUUUUGAGUGGCCCUUUAUAAACUUGACCUCAAAUCAGGUAGGACUACCCGCUGAACUUAAGCAUAUCAAUAA
rnacentral:rRNA from 1 species